ACAGACUCUCCUUUUCUUUCUCCAUAUGAUUUGCUAUGAAGUCCAUUCUCAUGAGAAACAUCAACCGGGCUGUAGGAAUCAAUUCCCUGAACCAUCACUGCCUGAUUAGUUGGCUGAAAGGGAGCAAAAGAAGAAAUACCACAACAUGAUUGAAUGCUGGCAGUAAUAAUCCACAAGGAAGUUAGAGAAAAUUAUGCAAGAAAAAGAGUUCCAUCUGAGGAACCAGAGGAAGAGAUGGAAGAUGGGCUCUAGCCAUUGUAGGGAAGAUACAAUUGUCCUCCAUUGUGACAAAAGAGACUGUGGAGCCUUGCAGAGAUAAAGGUGUAUGCAUUAACUUACACAAUCAUAUGAAGCACAUGAUCAUAAUAUAAUGUUGAGAUAAAGGAACAAACCACUUAUGACCGUGUACACUGCAGUAACUGUUUAUCUUCAAAAGCUCCCUGCACAAGUAAAAAGUUAAAUGAAAAUGGCAUGAACAUGUGUUAAAAAUUAUUUGGAGACCCUCCCUGGUGGUGCAAUG